rnacentral:rRNA from 1 species
GUGGGGAAUAUUGGACAAUGGGCGAAAGCCUGAUCCAGCCAUGCCGCGUGUGUGAAGAAGGUCUUCGGAUUGUAAAGCACUUUAAGUUGGGAGGAAGGGCAGUAAGUUAAUACCUUGCUGUUUUGACGUUACCGACAGAAUAAGCACCGGCUAACUUCGUGCCAGCAGCCGCGGUAAUACGAAGGGUGCAAGCGUUAAUCGGAAUUACUGGGCGUAAAGCGCGCGUAGGUGGUUUUGUAAGUUGGAGGUGAAAUCCCCGGGCUCAACCUGGGAACGGCCUCCAAAACUGCAUGACUAGAGUACGGUAGAGGGUAGUGGAAUUUCCUGUGUAGCGGUGAAAUGCGUAGAUAUAGGAAGGAACACCAGUGGCGAAGGCGACUACCUGGACUGAUACUGACACUGAGGUGCGAAAGCGUGGGGAGCAAACAGGAUUAGAUACCCCAGUAGUCC